rnacentral:rRNA from 1 species
UCAAAUUUGAAAUCUGGGCCUUUCAGGCUCCGAGUUGUAAUUUGUAGAAGAUGCUUUGGGUGCGGCCCCGGUCUAAGUUCCUUGGAACAGGACGUCAUAGAGGGUGAGAAUCCCGUAUGUGAUCGGUGGCUUGCGCCCGUGUAAAGCUCUUUCGACGAGUCGGGUUGUUUGGGAAUGCAGCUCUAAAUGGGUGGUAAAUUUCAUCUAAAGCUAAAUAUUGGCCAGAGACCGAUAGCGCACAAGUAGAGUGAUCGAAAGAUGAAAAGCACUUUGGAAAGAGAGUUAAACAGUACGUGAAAUUGUUGAAAGGGAAGCGCUUGCAACCAGACUUGCGCGGGGUUGAUCAUCCGGGGUUCUCCCCGGUGCACUCGGCCCCGCUCAGGCCAGCAUCGGUUUUGGUGGUUGGAUAAAGGCCUUGGGAAUGUGACUUCUUUCGGGGAGUGUUAUAGCCCUCGGUGCAAUGCAGCCUACCGGGACCGAGGACCGCGCUUCGGCUAGGAUGCUGGCGUAAUGGUUGUAAGCGACCCGUCUUGAAACACGGACCAAGGAGUCUAACAUCUAUGCGAGUGUUUGGGUGUCAAACCCAUGCGCGUAAUGAAAGUGAACGGAGGUGAGAACCCUUAAGGGCGCAUCAUCGACCGAUCCUGAUGUCUUCGGAUGGAUUUGAGUAAGAGCAUAGCUGUUGGGACCCGAAAGAUGGUGAACUAUGCCUGAAUAGGGUGAAGCCAGAGGAAACUCUGGUGGAGGCUCGCAGCGGUUCUGACGUGCAAAUCGAUCGU